rnacentral:ncRNA from 1 species
GCUAUUUGUGGUGGUAAAUUUUCGUGUUGACCACACGCCGAUGGUACUGACAGGGGAAACCCGAGAGAUGCGGGAGAAUGACACGCCUGCCAAAUAGC